rnacentral:piRNA from 1 species
UAAGACACCAAAUGCUUCUGAGGAAA